CCUAACACAUGCAAGUCGAACGGUAACAGGAAACAGCUUGCUGUUUCGCUGACGAGUGGCGGACGGGUGAGUAAUGUCUGGGAAACUGCCUGAUGGAGGGGGAUAACUACUGGAAACGGUAGCUAAUACCGCAUAACGUCGCAAGACCAAAGAGGGGGACCUUCGGGCCUCUUGCCAUCAGAUGUGCCCAGAUGGGAUUAGCUAGUAGGUGGGGUAACGGCUCACCUAGGCGACGAUCCCUAGCUGGUCUGAGAGGAUGACCAGCCACACUGGAACUGAGACACGGUCCAGACUCCUACGGGAGGCAGCAGUGGGGAAUAUUGCACAAUGGGCGCAAGCCUGAUGCAGCCAUGCCGCGUGUAUGAAGAAGGCCUUCGGGUUGUAAAGACC
rnacentral:rRNA from 1 species